UGGGGGAUAUUGCACAAUGGGCGAAAGCCUGAUGCAGCGACGCCGCGUGGGGGAUGAAGGCCUUCGGGUUGUAAACUUCUUUUGCUCUGAACAAGGCGCACCAUGGGGUGUGUUGAGUGUAGGGGUUGAUUAGCGCCGGCUAACUACGUGCCAGCAGCCGCGGUAAUACGUAGGGCGCGAGCGUUGUCCGGAAUUAUUGGGCGUAAAGGGCUUGUAGGUGGCUGGUUGCGUCUGUCGUGAAAGCUCAUGGCUUAACUGUGGGUUUGCGGUGGGUACGGGCUGGCUUGAGUGCAGUAGGGGAUGCUGGAAUUCCUGGUGUAGCGGUGGAAUGCGCAGAUAUCAGGAGGAAUACCGGUGGCGAAGGCGGGUCUCUGGGCUGUUACUGACACUGAGGAGCGAAAGCAUGGGGAGCGAACAGG
rnacentral:rRNA from 1 species